rnacentral:rRNA from 1 species
GGAAUAUUGCACAAUGGGCGAAAGCCUGAUGCAGCAACGCCGCGUGUGCGAAGAAGGCCUUCGGGUCGUAAAGCACUUUUCUGGGAGACGAGAAAGGACAGUAUCCCAGGAAUAAGUCUCGGCUAACUACGUGCCAGCAGCCGCGGUAAAACGUAGGAGGCGAGCGUUAUCCGGAUUCACUGGGCGUAAAGCGCGUGCAGGCGGUUUGGUAAGUUAGGCGUGAAAGCUCCCGGCUCAACUGGGAGAGGUCGUCUAAAACUAUCAGACUCGAGAGCGGUAGAGGAAAAUGGAAUUCCCGGUGUAGUGGUGAAAUGCGUAGAUAUCGGGAGGAACACCAGUGGCGAAGGCGAUUUUCUGGACCGUUUCUGACGCUCAGACGCGAAAGCGUGGGGAGCAAAC